rnacentral:tRNA from 1 species
GCCACUAUAGCUCAGUCGGUAGAGCACUUCCUUGGUAAGGAAGAGGUCGACAGUUCGAUUCUGUUUGGUGGCUCCA